UAUUGGACAAUGGGCGCAAGCCUGAUCCAGCAACGCCGCGUGGAGGACGAAGGUCUUCGGAUCGUAAACUCCUGUCAGGCGGGACGAAGGCUGCAGGGCAAAUAGUCCUGUAGCUUGACGGUACUGCCAGCGGAAGCCCCGGCUAACUCCGUGCCAGCAGCCGCGGUAAUACGGAGGGGGCGAGCGUUAUUCGGAAUUAUUGGGCGUAAAGAGCUCGUAGGCGGUUUGUCGCGUCUGUCUUGAAAGCCCAUGGCUUAACUGUGGGUCUGCGGUGGAUACGGGCAGACUUGAGGCAGGUAGGGGAGCAUGGAAUUCCCGGUGUAGCGGUGAAAUGCGCAGAUAUCGGGAGGAACACCGGUGGCGAAGGCGGUGCUCUGGGCCUGUUCUGACGCUGAGGAGCGAAAGCGUGGGGAGCGAAC
rnacentral:rRNA from 1 species